rnacentral:rRNA from 1 species
UACGGAGGGUGCGAGCGUUAUCCGGAUUCACUGGGUUUAAAGGGUGCGUAGGUGGGAAUGUAAGUCAGUGGUGAAAUCUCUGGGCUUAACUCAGAAACUGCCAUUGAUACUAUGUUUCUUGAGUUUUCUGGAGGUCAGCGGAAUAUGUCAUGUAGCGGUGAAAUGCUUAGAUAUGACAUAGAACACCAAUUGCGAAGGCAGCUUACUACACAAUGAUUGACGCUGAGGCACGAAAGCGUGGGGAUCAAACAGG